rnacentral:rRNA from 1 species
CAAUAGCGUAUAUUAAAGUUGUUGCAGUUAAAAGCUCGUAGUUGGAUUUGUGGCGUACGGUGGGUUCCGGGCACUUGUUGUCUGAGUAACUUGCUGUUGCCAUCCUUGGGUGGAACCUGUGUGGCAUUAGGUUGUCGUGCAGGGGAUGCCCAUCAUUUACUGUGAAAAAUUAGAGUGUUCAAAGCAGGCUUAUGCCGUUGAUAUAUUAGCAUGGAAUAAUGAGAUAGGACUUUUUUUGUCUAUUUUGUUUGGUUUGUCGCAAAGAGGUAAUGAUUAAUAGGGACGAGUUGGGGGUAGUUCGUUAUUCCAUUGUCAGAGGUGAAAUUACUUGG